UUUUUUUCACUGGCCGUGUCAAUGAACUUGUCGAGUGGAUAUGUACGUACUGAAUAAUGCAGUGAAUGUGUCCCGCGGUUGAAUUCACUUUUGCCAUCUCGAGGUUGUACUUGGAUUGGUGCCAAAUGUGGUAAUGCAGAGUGCGUGACGAUGGGAGGGAUUUUUAUUUGGGGCUGGUUGAGGUUUUCGGACUGCGAGCGCCAGCAAAAAGACGCUUUAGGGCUUUUGAAAUCGUUAAAAAUUUAUCAUCUCUAUUUUUAGAAUUUAUUGUGCGAGAAAAUUGCAGUUUUUUGACGCAGUCAAUUUUUAUGGGAAACGUCUCCUGAUAUACCUCGAAAAUUAAAUUCUCUAUUACUCUGAAAGAAGAAUAAAAUCCUUUGCCUCGAAAAAUUCUCAUCUCACUGUUCUCUCUUCAAAGAAAAAUUCUCUCCGUUUAUUUAUAUAUAUAAAUCAUAUAUUUUAUAGAUUAUUUAUUAUCUCGAGAAUUUAACUACCAAUAUUUUUUUUCCCUGUGCUGAAACCUUCUUACUUGAAGCAGCAGAGCGAAUAUCACCCACUGAUAAUACUUGUGCUGCUUCACCAGAGGAUGAUGAUUAUGUACGUGAACAUCGGUUUUGCUGUUCGUAACACCAGGAUAUGGUACAGCACGUCCAAUCGUCACAUUGAAUGCAUUGAUCAUGCUGUACGUCGUGUGCAGCCAGCAGAAAGUUUCGAGCACUUCCUUGUCGACAGCACCUGAGCUCUCGCAGUGAAUUGCCGGCGACGGUCUUAUCGGGGCGCCUCUCACUGGCAAAUUCCACGGAUUUUCGGACUAUACGCGGGGAAAAUUUCAACAUUGAGAUUUACAACCAGGGGCCGAGGGGGCGUGCACCAAGUUCGAUACCGUUUGAAGCAGCCGCACUCUUGCUCUCUCGAGUGGCAAUUCCACCCGGGUGAGCAGGUGGGGAAGGGGGAGGUUCUCCACGGAAAAUCCACUUUAAGGCGCAACCGGGAGGUCUCGAGACAACUGUUCAUCCGAGUAAAACGUCUGAUGGAACAUAAAUCUACUCCACUGAGAGAAAUGUUCUGUUAAAAUUACGGAAUACUCUGGGAAAAUUCCCGGACACUUGCAGGAAAUUUCCUGCGGACAUGUCAUUAUCGUUGAGUAGUUGGGAGUGAGUGAAAUUAAUUGAAAAAUUGAAAUGUUUGGGACGAAUAAUUUUCUUUAAAAUUUUUCUAGAGUCUUUUCUGACAAUUUCCAAGUUUUACUUGAAAUCUAUUACGAUUUGUGUACCGGAAUGAGCUGUAGUGGCUCCUCGACUCCAUA